rnacentral:lncRNA from 1 species
AGUGAAUUUAUCUCUUCCGGUUCAAACCCCCUCUAUUAAAUUCUUGUGUUAGGAAUGUCUUGCAACUUGAGACCUUCAAACAAUCCUUGCGUUUUUACAACAUGAUUGCAAUGGCGUACAGUAUUGCCUGAUGGGGCUUGCUAUUUCACAUCACUCUCAAGUCUGCAAGAUGUAAAACAAAGAGCGCUGUCAAGACCAGCACAAAGUUGAGCUUGUAUGUCUUCUUCAAGCUUUUCGUGCUCAUAUUUUGCUCGAACGGAAGAAGGAAUUCCGAGGUAUUAUUGCUUCGUUGUGCAAGCUUUGAAGCCCUUGUUUGGCUUACAGGGUUUACCCCUGCGCUGUGAAGGAAUGCUGUUGUAUUGGCAACCGCGUGGGGCAUUUCGAGAGAAACGAGUCGACUCGUUUGCCGGGCAAUAAUUUGUGGUAAAAUCUAUUUGGGUGUGUCAAGGGGAAGAGGAAUUGGGUUGUCGCCAGUGCCACUCGAUGCUUUCGUGCGCCUCCAAAUCGGCAUCCUAGAGGAUUUGUAACCGCUUCUCAGAUUGCGGAUUGUCUCGCAUCGGCCGGUCCCACGCGUAGUUAGGAAACUGACGUUGACGGAAGCGAUGCGGCCGAUUGAUUCUCUUGAAAAGCUGAGGAAGAAUCUUGCGUCCUUGCGUUGGGGACAAGCGGCAUGGGUCCCUUUCGAUGCAGUUCAGAGCCCUCGUUCCGAACAUGUUCCUACCGGUAUUCUCUCAUCGGCAUCGUUUUUGAUGAAUUUUGCAUCAUUCCCGAAGCCUGACAAUUGAGAAAUCUGUUGCUUGGUGAUGCUAUUUCUGUGGGUAGAGGUAGCUAGCGACCGUACGUCCUUGUGGGAUGCAGUGCUAGUCGACUUGCAUGGGAUUUUUAGGUAUACAUGGUCACACUUCGUCUCCAUCUUGCGAACCGCUAAUUUGGUUUCCCUGUAGAGCUAGACCUUCACGACUCCCGUUCUUAUUGCUUUUAGAGCAAAUUCACUAGAGAGUAUUAGAGUUAUCGGCAACCUCCCCAUCUUGACUUGUGUUACACUGCUGCAAUUUCAAAUCGAAAGGCUUACCAAUCUUAUACUACAAGAAUUGCAAGUUUUAUUUCCUUUUUCCAGGCCGCAUGGGGUAAAUCUGUGCUUGAGAGCCCAGGACUCAUCAUUCAGGUACUCGGCGCACAUCCACAGACCAAAUUGACCCAACUCCAGGUAUUCCUUUACUAGCAUUUUGCUAAUUCACUAUGCCAUCUGCAAAACCUACUUUCCUCUCUACAAUACUAAUGUAUUGGUAAGAUUGUGAGAGUUGCUGGUGCUGAAGGCACACUCACGCUCAACUUUCGUGUCAGCUAUUCAUCUAUCAACAGCAGGGUCCUCAUUUCUUUCCCUCUCUCCUUUGUUACAUUGACUGGUCUACAAGAUCAGGACUUUUUCAUGUGCAUUAAGUUUGCAAAAGAUGAUGUCGAUGUAGACAAGCAAGCAGAAUUGGUAGAGAUGUUGAAAUGAAGCUUCAGUCUCUAUGAAGCAGGGAAUGUGUCUUGAUCUGUGCGGCGUUUCUCUCUGCAAUUCCUUGUGCUCACUACAAGUCAUGCCGAGCUUCCCAGUCUGGUUGAGAAACCAUGAAAAAACUGAAGCAGCAGCUAAUAUUUUGAAACAUGCUUCAAUUCUCACUGCUUUCUGUGCAGGUUGUUUGUUUUUCCAACUUCUGUAAUUUGGGUGUGAGCAUUAAUUGAGUUGUUGGGAGUAAUCACUAUUUCACAACCGGCAUGUAGACGUAUCAAUUGGUGUCGUAGGUUUGUAUCCUGCACGAGGAAAGACAUUUUCAAGUGAAGAGAUUGGAUUAUUUCUGAUUUGUAAGGCAAGGCAUUAUUGUGGCGUAUUCAUUUGAUUAGUUUGUCUGGCGCACUAGUUAGUGAUACUGAGUAAAGUGUUACAAAUUUUACAACGGCCAUCAAAUGCUUGUAGCAGAUGUCUACUAACAUGGAUGUUUGUUGCUUGAUGUUACAGAAAAGUAUGAGAAAAUAGUCAUUAACCAUGUCUUGAUAGUGUUAUUGAAUUUUAUUUGAAUGGUUGUUUCAAAUGCUAUGAUCUUUCUUUCUUUCUUCCCUUUUUUUUUUUUUUUUUUUUUUGAAUAAAGGUUGGGCAAUAGUUGUGAUGUUAUAGCUGUAAGUUUAGGGUUGGAUUUGAACUGUUAAUCUUUUGAUAUCAUUUUGGAUAUUGGGUACAAUGUUGAUAUAUUUUGGUAGUUUAAAGUUAUUUUAGACCAAAUAAAAUAAGACAUUCUUAAUAAAUCAAGGAAGAUUGUUUUAUUUGUGUUUUCAUUGUGGUUGAUGAAACUAAGUAUGUAUGUUUGUAAGUAACUAAAGUAAAUGUAUUAUAGGUUAUUGUUUUAAAAAAUAUCAUAGUAAUAUGAAUUUUUUUCUUUUA